UAUAAGAGCAUACACGUAGAAAGUUUAGAACAUAGCGUGUCAGUAUGCAUGUCUUUUCAUAGUUAUUUUGUUUUUUUUCACUUUUUCUUUUUCCUUUUUCUAUUUUUUUUGCAUAAAUAUUGACUUUGUAUUGCUCUUUUUUCUGUGCAUAACUUCUCAAACUUUAAUUUUCCCUGCCCUUUUUGUUAGUGUAAUAGUGGAUUUUUGGCUUUGUUGUAAGACACCACAAGAAAAGUCUAAUCAAAAGUAGUUUUGGUUGACAAAGGAAUAAUAUUACAGAAUAAGAAGAUGGAUCAUGUACUAGUGAUAUCAUUGCCUUUGGCUAUAUUGGUGUUGAUCUUAUUAGCUCUUGUAUGUUACUUCUUUGGAAGAUCAAGGGGUCGAUGGUGAUUAUAUUUAGUUAUAUUCAAAUGUUUAAUUAUGCCUCCUCCCAAGUUAUUUUUCGAUGAAUGUAACUUUUUCAAUCGGAAAUAACCUUUUUACCUCUAUGAAAGGUAGGGUAAUUUUUACC